AGAAUUUUUGUCUACUUGAGUCAGAAAUACUGUUUCUAGAAUACUAGAAAUCAGAUGAAAAUAAAUCUUUUUUAAAAAAAAGUAGUUACAUUCUGGAUUGCUUUGUGGAUAUCUUUAAGAAACUAGCAUCCCAUCCCCCCUGGAAAAAAAAAAACCAUUAAGUGAAGUAGGUCUCAAAUUCGAGAUCUGCUUUGGUUCUUUGUCCAGUGAGAAGAUAAAGCUGUUUGAUAAACCUGUUUUGUGCGAGAGAUUGUUUUACAGGGUUUAGGGUGAAUUUUGUAAAUGAAUCUUCAGUAGAAGAUUGCAGAGUUGCAUAUUGCAUGAUGUCACUAAAUCUGUAUUAAGUUUAGAAGAACAUCUUGCUGCUGUUGGAUGCAUCUCCUUCUCAUGUUUGAGCUGACAUUAGAAAACUCAAGGGACCUGUAACUUCAGUUACUAAAGACAUGCUGAUAGUGCUCUUACCUCGUGAUGCAAACUGUACAAGAGAUUGCACACUAACGUUAACAGUUCCAUUCUCUUAUCUCUUUGGAAAGUUUAUGGAAUGUAGGUUGUUUUCAAUUUUCUCUAUAUUUAGAAAAUUAUUCAUCACAUGAGCGAUCUUUCCAACUGUUUUUGGAGCUGAUCUUGUUUGAACUAAAACUGGUUUCCUGUGCUCACCACAUGCUAAAAGAUCUAGUUGUUUAAUACAGCAAAACACUAUUACUGAGAGCGUAUUUUUUUGUGAAAGGGAUUGGAUAGACAAAUAUUUUGCAGCCCUCUCUAAUGCUAGGUAAUUCCUACUGAUGUUAACUUUUCUACAGGGGCAUAAGAAUGUUAUAAUCUUAAUUCAGGGAAAAUGGAGAUGGGAAGGUGGCAGCUAAAGGGUUAUAUAACUAUCUACUAAAUAAUAUAAACCCAGAGACUUUAUCACUCAGGUAUAACACUGUUAAUUCACGUUAAUUUUGUCCUAUUAUAUUUUUGAUCAGCCUUUACCAAGAAUAGAUGGCUUAAUUUUAGAAACAUACUUCCUGCAUGUGAAAGUGCUCUGAAGGAGCGUGGGGGCAAGGGAUACUUCUGUUUCUCAAUCAGCUGGCCAAGCCCAUUUUUUUUGCGUCAUAAUCUGCUUUACAUUGUAAUGAGUAAGCAAGUCCUGUAGCAUUGCCUUCAGGCUGUCUAUUUUGUCUGUAUUUUCUCUUUGAGUAGUUUCUUAAAGACAGAUUUGAAAAGUAGCCCAAGUUCAGCAGAGUAAUCCAAAGAAUCCCUGAAUAGUCAUUUAGGUGUUUGAAAGCCUGCAGCCAGUUAAAUGUUCCCUAGUAGAGAUACUUAAGUGCCUGAAAUUUUGCUACUGCAUGUGGUCCCAAAUAUGACCAUCUUGUGGCUUAAAUUACAAUUAGUCUCUCUUGGGCUUCACAGGGUGUCUGUCCUUUCACCUAAACCCCUUGAGGGGCCUGAUAAGGAAGGGCAGUCAAGGCAUAUUCGUCUAUCGCAACAUCUUGGAGUUCAGCAUGUAGCAGCUCAGUCAUGGCUGCUUUCAUGCAAGAACAUGAUUACCAGAGGAAAAAGGGAUGAGUAUGGUGCUCACCUUUUAUGUCCUAGCCUGUUGGUUGGUGCACCUCCAAGCUGAGCAUUAAAAAAGAGAGACCGAACUAGUCAUCUGUACUGAUGAUUUAAGAGCUUAUGUUCAGAAAGUGACUUAAGUUUGCAGUGUUCGGCUUCACAUAGAUGCCUCCAGGACUUUAGGUACCAAAGUUCAGGGACCAGCAGCAGUAAAGGUGGACCUCUUUCUUUAGUUCCUACUGUGUAAUUUUAGGCUGUCUUUCUGCACUUGCGAAUGUGGUUCUCCGACAAGUUCAGGAAGCCUUUGAAGUUGUGAUCUAAGAGAGUUUUUCUCAUGCCAUCCGUAAACCAGCAUGGUUGUAAACAUGGUCUUGCUAGUUUGAAAUUAAUUUUCUAGAAUUUUUUUUUUAUAUUUUUCUUUAAUGUGACUCAGCUAGAAUGUAUUUCUAGACAAGUAGGUGGAAUGCCUACAGAAAAUGUGAAGUGGUAAUGAAGCAAGGAUAGUAUAACAUGGUUAAAAUAAUACAGUGGUUUUUGUUUGACUUUAAGGGUUGAUCCACAAUCCUGGUAUUUCUGUAAUGAAAUUUAUUAUGCGUAAUAAUUUUGUGAGGACUGUUCUGUGCCAGUGAUGAUGACAUUGUUGGCAGAAACCAUUGGAACUGUGUAAAUAAUUUUUUUGCUUUCAAAACUACCUUUUUUAUUUUUAUUUUUAAACUGAACCGUGAACAUUUGUCCCUUGCCUGAAAGUUUGAUCUGUGUUUCUCUUAACAUUAUUUUAAGAGAUCUGAGUUUUUAGAAGUGGGGAAAACAUUUAAGUAUUAAAGAUAGAUUUUGUGCAAAUGUAGAGCAAAAUGUGUCAACUUCUCUGUUUAAAAAAAGUGAUGAAUUGUUUUAAAAGAAAAAAAUCACAACAUUGAAAUGCAACAGCUGCAUACUGGUCAGGAGGAAAACUAGUUUUUUUCUUUAGUGACUCCUUGUAUUUUGGCUUGAUGCAUGGGCGGGUGAAAGGUUUAUAUGAAUAAAGGAUAAAUAAUAAGUAAUUGCUGAAUUCUCAUUUUGGUUGAUAGUUUCCUCGCUGAUCUAGAAGUGCUGAUUGGCAGCUUGCGUUGAAUCCGAGCGAGGCUGCUCUCCUGCACAGGGUACCCAUCAGCUUUGGGGCAGUUGUCCUCCACUUGAGGGUGGAUAAUGAGCAGCUGUUGGUAUAGAGUUGCCACAGCUGUUUCUGAAGAGACUGUGUGGUUGUGUUCUAGCUCAUGGUUUUCUUUCUUGUUUCAUGUAUUUUCUCAGUUUUUUUAUUCCUGUGCAAUAAAAUGCCCAUUUUCCUAAAUGUCAUUCUUCACUAAAAGACAGGGAAAGCUGAGGGAAUAAUAAGAAAAAAAUGUGUGCUUUCCCAGAUGACAAAGAAUGACCCGUAGUAAUAGCAGAGAGUCUCUGCUUCGGUGUGAGGUGUGGUGGUAAGCUGGAAAGCAUUGAAAGCAGUGUGGGAACUGAGAUCAAAAGGCUGCUGGGUGGGUAAGUGUGAAGAGGAGGACUGAGUCAACUGAGGAGAAAAGUGCACAUCCUUAGUCUUGGUUGGUAAUAGUGUUGGGUUAACAAACAUCACUUUACCCUACUCAGUGUUUUAUCAAAAUAAAAUAAAUCGUUUCAAAAAUGGAUUGAAAUAACAGUUUUUUUUUUUAAAUCAAACAACAGGAUUUUGUUCUGCUCAAGGAAAGGAAGCCUUUUCAUCUUUACAAUUGUGUGGCACUGAAUGACUGUCAGACUAAAUGUAUGGGCACUGUGGUUUGUCUGGUGCAAGUACCACACUUAUUCUUGAAAAAUCACCAGGAGAAUAAUUGAGUGCCUAUUCCAGUUUUUCCAGCUGCUGGGUUUUCAGAGUAAUAAGCACAGCUAGCUUUCAGAAAACAAAUGCUGCAGGUAGAUCUGCUUGUGCUUUAGAAAUCAAUUAGAAUCAUGCUUGAUGAGAAAAGUUGCUGCUUUUUGUUCAAAGCCUGCAUCCAAAUAGUCUGAAAAAUGAAAAAAGUUGUUUGGUUUGGAUUUCUCCACAGACAGAGCAAAGGUAUGCUCACAAAAUCUCUACCUUGUUUCCUGGAGCCUUUCCCAUAUUUUUGGUGUGUUUUGGUUUUUGUGAUUUUUGGGGGAAGGAGAGCUUUUGGAGAAGGGCAUUUUGGGUGCGUGUGUGUGUGUUUUGCUUUUGGUGUAACAGAUCAUCAAGAAUCUAUUGAUAUUACUGAGAAAACAAUUGCAAUACUGAGGCCAAAGGACUUCAUCCAAAUUCAGUGUGUUAUAGCCACCAACCAGGCUGUGAGAUGAGAAGAGCUAUUUGGACUUUCUGGUGAUUAUUGGUAGAAUUUUGGGGAAACAAAUUCCUGCUUAUACUUAUUUGCAUGAUAUGUGUCCAGAAUUACCAGUAAGUGAACAGAUAGACUGUGAUCAGCUUAUAGAAUGCAUUAUUAAUGUUCUCCUAAAAUAAAACUGUAUAUUUUAGGAAUAAGCUCUUAUUUGCCAAUAAUUAAAUGAAGAAAAGUAUUAUUAAAUAUUUUGAUGCAGCAGUUCAUAAAAAGUAGUAAAUGAGCAGUGGUGUUCUGUUCAUGUCGAAUAAAUACCUUAAUAUACUCUUGGAGUAGCUACACUUUGUAGUCAGUUACAGUGCAGCAUAACAAAUUGGAACAGCUAAUUUAAACAUUAUUAUACAUAUUAAAUAUCAUACCCAUAAUCUUCUUGUCAUUAGUUGCAUUUCUAUAUCACUUACCUAACAUCAAACAGCUACUACUGUGUUUAAUAUAUCCAUUCUGUUGUUCAUGGACUUGAAUUUCUUUUUCUUUCUCUCAUGCUAAAAUGUAUCUGAUUUUUAUGACUCGCAUCACUCUGGUACCACAUGAUCAUGAGGGUUAGUUACAGUGAGAAAAUGCCACACACCAGUAAUGCACUUUUAGCAUACUUAAUAUUCUUGGUAGUUGAACACUUAAGAAUUCUUAAUGAAGAAUUCUGAACUUGGUCACACUUUUUGUUGAUGGAUAUUUUGUAGCUUGAAGUGUAAAAACAAAAAACAGACUAACAAGCAGUAUUCAGUAUAGAUAUGUGUAUUCAGUGAUCUCCAUUUUCGUAAAUGAUUUUGUCAGGAUUAGCAUUUUUCUGCUCUGAAGUUGUGUGGUUUUAGAUUUAGUGUUGUAUUAAAAUGUCUGUUAAUGUAGUACAAUAUUUCUUUUUUCCAAGAGAAGAGGUUAUUCUUUUAAACUCUUUUAAAUUAUAUUUGAUUUUUAGGAUGCUUUUUUUUACUCCUGAGAUGAAAAAUCUGGAUUUUUCAGAACAGUACUUCUGUAGCUAUUUCCCAAAAUACAUUUUUGGUCUGAUAAUAGAUGUAGAAAAUCAUAGUCCAAGUUGUUUAGAUAACUUAGGAUUCUUAAUUUAUUCCAGCAUUAGAAUAUGGUAUCUCAUAGAUACCAAACUAUGAAGAUUAAUGCAGAUGCUUACUCCACUCAGAAGAACCUAUACUCUGAUUUCACUUGUUUUAAAUUUUUUUCUCAAGUGAUAUCUGUGUUCUUUGGAAGGAUCUUUGCUCCUCUUUAGACUCAGUAGUGUCUGCUUUUGAUAUUACAGUCUUAAUAAGGAAAAAAAAGUUCUUGUAACUGAAAUUUUACACCAGCCUGUCUUCUAAUAGUUUCUAAUUUUGAU